GGGGCGAUGGCGGAAUCGGCAGACGCAGCGGACUUAAAAUCCGCCGAUAGAGAUAUCGUGAGGGUUCGACCCCCUCUCGCCCCA
rnacentral:tRNA from 1 species